AUCACUUUGCUGAUUUGAUCGGUAAGUUUAUACCCAGAGAUGAAUAACAUCAGUUAUAUACUUUGUUUCAAUAAUAAAUUCACAUUAAGCUGUGCAAGAAUGCACUUUUUAUACACUGAAAAACACAGGUAUAACUCAAUUCAUAAUGAGUGAUUUUUAAGUAUAAAGGGCCGUUCACAUUAUAACAAUAACUAUAACUAUAUUAGCGUCCACAUCCCCGGACGAGAAUCUUUGAUUUUUUGGGGGGGAAAUUUUGCAGUCUCAAAUGCACUUUAUAGUGAUAUUGACCCAAAUAGCAGAGUGUAGUUGUUUAAAAUGAAUCAGUAAUUGAUAAUGUUGUGAAAGAUUUAUUUAUUUUUUGCUUAUUUGACCAUCAGCCUUAGCAUUACUGAAUUACGCUGUACCCUUAACAGGAUUUAAACAUUUACAAUCCUACACAAAAGCUGGGUUAUUUGCAUUUUUGGGUCAAAUAUAAAAAUGUUCUGGGUUAAUUUAACCCAGUGGCUGGGUUUUUACCAUUUUGACUUAAUGCUGAAUAACAAUGACCCAAUAAUAACAAUGCUGCAUUUUUUUACAGUGCAGUAAUGAAAUAUUUACUAAUGGAUCUUGCAAAACUCUUAACACAUGAUUGUCAUGAAUUAUCAAACUACCAAAUGUCACCUUUAUACCAUGACUAAAUCAUACUCCUUUUUAAAAUUGGUUUACCUUUAGCAUGUCACAAGCUAACAGCAAGCAGAUUUAGCAGUUUGGUCAGUCCUGUUAUGAAUAUCAUGUUUACAUAUGGUCCUUUCUCCUCAGUUUGCUGUGACUGACUGUGAAACGACUGACAUGAAGACAUUUCAAGGUGUGCCAACUUCCCAACUGUGAGCCUGCAAUGCUACAGCCACCCAGUGUCUUUUACAACUCAUUUCCAUCAUGGGCCACCAGAGGACACCAGACCCAUAACCAAAGUUUGUGUCUCCGGCCACUGUGGUCCACUAUAACCCUUUUGUGCCUUUUCCAGCUGUCUGUUUCAACAGCUGCCACCAUAAAGGUUGGUGUGGUGGGACCUUGGUCAUGUGACCCCAUUUUUACCAAAGCCCACCCUGAUGUGGCCGCACGGUUAGCUGUGGCACGCAUCAAUAAAGAUCCAUCACUCUCAGACGGCGUCACGUUUGAUUAUGUCAUCCUGGAAGAGGAAUGUGUGACAUCACAGUCUCUCGCCCGUUUUCUUGGUUUUUAUACUCGAGCGUCUGGGUUUAUUGGCCCUGUUAACCCAGGUUACUGUGAAGCCGCCUCUCUCUUAGGAAAGAGUUGGAAUAAGGCAGUGUUUUCUUGGUCUUGCAUCGGAUAUGAGUUGGAUGACACGCGUAGUCAUCCCACUUUUUCCCGCACCAUGCCACUCCCCACCCUUGCGCUGCUGAGCUUCAUGCGCUACUUUCGCUGGGCACAUGUGGGCAUCAUUUCAUCAGCCGAGGAUGUCUGGGUGGAGACGGGAAUAAAGUUGGCUGAUGCCCUCCGGACUCAUGGAAUGCCUGUUGGCAUAGUGGCAUCCUUUGGUAAUGACCACAACAGUGCGCGUAAGACCCUGGUCAAGAUCAAGAAGGUGCAAGAUCUUCGCUUGGUCAUUCUCUGCAUGCACUCAGUGUUAAUUGGUGGAACAGCCCAAAAGUUGCUGUUGGAGACGGCAUAUGACAUGCGGAUGACAGAUGGAUCAUUGGUGUUCAUACCUUAUGAUACUCUAUUUUACAGUCUUCCCUACCAUCACAUAGCCCAACCAGCCCUGCGCCAUAAUAGUAAACUGUUACGAGCCUAUGAUGCCAUGCUCACCAUCACUAUUGAGUCUCCAAAGGAAGAGUCUUUCUACCACACUUUUAAAAAGGCUCAGGAGCAAGGGGAGCUGCCCAUGUACAUUAAUCCACAGCAGGUGUCUCCAUUGUUUGGCACCAUUUACUCCUCCAUUAUGGUCAUGGCUCAUGCCGUGCAAAGUGUCAGGGCAUCAGGUCAGUGGAUGUCUGGGGGAAACAUUGCCCAAAAUGCCCGUAACCUGGUAUAUAAAGGCUUCAGCCAUUCAUUACAGUCAAAUUCUUCUGGGCUUGGCAUGCUGGACUAUGUGGUGCUGGAUACUGAUGGCUUUUCUUGGGAGUUGCAACCUACGUAUCGUAUAGAGAUGCAGACAGAUAUGGUGCGCUUUCUGGGUCGGUCAAUUCACUUCCCUCAAGGGGGACCACCCAAAACCGAUUCCAGCUGCUGGUUUACACCUGGGAAUAUCUGUAGUGGAGGUGUGAAUCUAUUCAACACGGUUUUAAUCAUCCUCUGCGGUUUUCUGCUCAUCUUCUUCUUGAUUGGCUGUUCUUACUUUAUUAGGCGUAGAAUUAAUCAGAUCCGAAUGGUGCGAGGUCCUAAUAAGAUCCUGCUGACUUUAAAUGACGUCACAUUUAUCAACCCAUCUCUGAGCAAUAAGAAGCUGAGCUUGGAUGACAAAACCAGUGAGAUGAGAAUAAGUGAAGUUUCAGAGCGAAGCCUCAGGUCUCCACUGUCUGAGCAAUCGCCAGCCACCUAUGAGAAUUCAAAUAUUGCCAUUUACGAGGGUGACUGGGCAUGGUUGAAAAGACUUCCAUAUGGAAACUUCCAGAGCAUCACGCCUAAUACCAGUGAUGUAUUUGAGCUGAUGAAAGAUAUGAGGCAUGAGAACGUUAACCCCUUUCUCGGCUUCUUCCAUGACUGUGGAGUCUUUGCCAUUGUAACGGAGUUCUGUUCACGGGGCAGCUUGGAAGAUCUUUUGGUAAAUGAAGACGUCAAACUGGACUGGAUGUUCAAGUCCUCUCUUAUUAUGGACCUCAUCAAGGGUAUGAAAUACCUCCACCACAGGAACAUCUGUCAUGGAAGGCUUAAAUCUAGGAACUGUGUGGUCGAUGGACGUUUUGUGCUUAAAAUCACAGACUACGGCUACAAUGAGGUGUUGGAAGCUCAGAAAUUUCCUUACGUUGAACCUCCAGCCGAGGACCUCCUAUGGACUGCCCCAGAGAUAUUGAGAGUGGGUUACCCUGGUUUGUAUGGCAGUCUGCCUGGUGACGUGUACAGUUUUUCUAUCAUCAUGCAAGAGGUGGUAAUGCGAGGGCCUCCAUACUGCACGCUGGAGCUGUCUUAUGAUGAAAUCGUCCAGAAGGUCCGGAAGCCUCCUCCAAUGUGCCGGCCCGUUGUGUCCCCGGAUCACGCUCCAAUGGAGUGCAUUCAGCUUAUGAAGCAGUGCUGGAAUGAGCAGCCAGAGAAAAGACCUACAUUUGAAGACAUUUUUGACCAGUUCAAGAAUGUUAAUAAAGGGAAGAAGACCAACAUUAUCGAUUCUAUGUUGCGAAUGUUGGAGCAGUACUCCUCCAACCUGGAGGAGCUGAUCAGAGAAAGGACAGAGGAGUUGGAAAUAGAGAAACAAAAGACUGAGAAACUUCUAACACAAAUGUUGCCCCCGUCAGUUGCAGAGGCUCUGAAGCAUGGGACUACAGUUGAACCAGAGUACUUUGACAGUGUCAGUCUUUACUUCAGUGAUAUUGUUGGCUUCACCACAAUCUCAGCAAAUAGCGAGCCCAUUGAGGUGGUUGACCUUCUCAAUGACCUUUACACUCUUUUUGAUGCUAUAAUUGGCAAUCAUGAUGUCUAUAAGGUGGAGACCAUAGGUGAUGCUUACAUGGUGGCAUCGGGUCUACCUGUGCCAAAUGAAAACCGUCAUGCAGCUGAGAUCGCAAAUAUGGCCCUGGACAUUCUGAGCGCUGUAGGCACCUUUAAGAUGAAACAUAUGCCUGAUGUACCUGUCCGGAUCCGAAUAGGGCUUCAUACAGGUCCAUGUGUGGCUGGUGUGGUGGGUUUGACUAUGCCACGGUACUGUCUGUUUGGGGACACGGUCAACACUGCUUCUAGAAUGGAGUCCAGUGGAAUGCCGUACAGAAUCCAUGUCCAUUCUAGUACUGUGAAAAUCCUGUUGGACUUGAAAUUGGGAUACAAAGUUGAGUUGAGAGCCAGGACUGAAGUCAAGGGGAAAGGUAUAGAAGAAACCUACUGGCUUACCGGGAGGGACGGCUUUACCAAACCACUCCCAGUACCACCUGUACUAAAGUCAGGGCAAAUGGCUCAUGGUUUGCAGAUGGAGGAGAUAGCUGCAUACAAGAAGCGGAAAGCAGAAUCACAGCUUGCAAAGAAGAAAAACUGAGACUGGAUGGCACUCCUCAGAUAUGGAUAGCCAGCUUUUCAAAACGGAUCGUCGGCUAUGUGCCUGAAACCAGAGAUUUUAAAGUGUUGCUUCAAAAGGCAGUGAGGAAAAUCUCUACUGUACGUCAAGUGGCUCAGCUCACCCUAGCCGAUGAUGGCAAUGUCAUGAUCCACCAUCACUGACGACCUUCAAAGCCCUUUUGACCCCACACCUGCAAGCAGAAUAAUACAGAAUAUGAAGUACUCGAUACAAGCUUCUCCUUGUUUCUUAUAGCAGCAAUUCAGAUGCUUUUGACAUGGACUGUUCUUGAAAAUCAGCACAAUACUCAUUUCUGUUCGAACGGAGAUUAGAGGCCUGUAGCCCUAUAUUCACUAUAUCAAGCGCCUCUCUAAAUGAAGCAAGGAGCUAAAUUUACCUUGUGGGAACCUUUUGCUCAGCAAGAAGGCAGUCCGAAUCUGACUAUUCCCACUAGAAACAGAUCCUCCCUCUUGUAAACUUAACAGUGACUGAAAUAUUGAUACAUGUACAAACUAGAAAUGCCAUAUGAAGUUUUAGUAAUUUUAAAAUUAUAAUAUAAUAAAUAAAAAAAAUAUUUUAACAAUAGAAUAAUUAUGUUGUUUGAUCAUGAGAUCAUGUUUAUACCUACAUUUAUUUU